GUGCUUGCUUUGGCAGCACAUAUAUUAAAACUGGAAUGAUAUAGAGAAGAUUAGCAUGACCCCUAUGCAAGAAUGACAAGCAAAUUCAUGAAGCAUUCCAUAUUUUU
ensembl:snRNA U6 U6 spliceosomal RNA